rnacentral:rRNA from 1 species
UACGAAGGGUGCAAACGUUAUUCGGAAUCACUGGGCGUAAAGGGUGUGUAGACGGCUUAUUAAGUUCGUUGUUAAAGGCUCCGGCCCAACCGGAGUAUUGCGAUGAAAACUGGUGAACUAGAGGGUGAGAGAGAGAAGUGGAAUUCCCGGAGUAGCGGUAAAAUGCGUGGAUCUCGGGAGGAACACCAAUGGCGAAGGCAGCUUCUUGGCUCAUUCCUGACGUUGAGACACGAAAGCGUGGGGAGCAAACAGG